GCCAUUAUAAUGGCUGCUGGAAUUGAUGGUCUCCGGCGUCACCUUCAACUUCCUGAGCCAAUAGGUAAUAAGAACUUUCUGUCAUUCAUUCUCAUAUUUUUUUGAGGGUUAUUUUAGUCUUAAGAAAUCGUUUCUGAUAGUAUUUUUGCGCAAUAUAUAUAUAUAUAUAUGUUAUGAAGUGCAUCUUACAUGUCACCAUUUUUGUUUGAUGAAACAUCAGAUACAAAUCCGGCUGAUGUGGCUGCGACACUGAAGAGACUUCCUGAAUCGCUCUCAGAAGCUGUUGAAGCUCUGGAGAAAGACCAAGUCCUCCACGAGUUGCUCGGACAAAAGCUUUUAGUUGCCAUA
rnacentral:lncRNA from 1 species